CAUCAUCUCUUUAAGUACCAGUUUCCGCCUAGUUAUCUUGUGCUCUUUACGCUAUUUUUGUUACGCCAAAUCCAAUUUUUUGCUGAUUAGUAAGCAUAUCUUUUAGUGUCGUUUGAACUAAAAGGUGUGAUAAAAUGGAUAUUGUCACAUAUAAAAAGUUUUGCAAAGCAAUAAUAAGAAAUGGAUAAUCAAAUCAGACACAGAUAUCCAGGGAACGUCCUAAGUACGUUCUGAGAACGUCCCAAUAUCCUCAGAAUAUCCCUGGAACGUUCUCAGAAGUUCUUGUGCUGUCUGGGUACUCAGGAGCAAAAGAACGAUGCUUUGCAAUAAGCCUUAAUAGAAGCAUUGAAAGAACCAACAGCGCAGGUUACUGAUCCGCUAGAUGGAUUUUUAGCACGGUUGAGAAAAGGCAUGCGAAGGCUGCCAUACCGCGACAGAGCUCGUCUGAAAAUACAAUUUUUGACGUUGCUCGUCGAAAAGGAAGAUCUUUGUGCUUACAAUGAUCCAAAUACUGAAUAAUCAACACGGUAUUAGCUGGAAACGUUUUUAUUUUUAUUUUAGAAAAAUAUUUAAUAAUUUUUUAUUUUUAUUUAUUAUGAAAAGUUAAUGUAUGAUAGUUAAUAUAUAUAUAUAUAUAUAUAUAUAUAUA